rnacentral:misc_RNA from 1 species
GGUGCAGUGAUGAAUGUAACCAGAGGUGUAAUUGUAGAAUUUAUAGGUAUAAUGUUUGCCUUUAGCCUCUUUCUUAUGUGUGCUAUUUUCACUCCAGUAAAGCACUGAGUUUGAACCAGGUUCAUGUUCUGUAACCCAUGACACUAUCACUGCCUUCCCAUCAUGAUCUCCUUGUGUUAUGUGAACCUGUUGAGGAGCAUUGUAGCCAGGAGGGACUCGGAAAACAUCGCUAUCAAGAGGCAUAUCAAUAGUUUUCUCCACUGGCCUAACAAAAUUGCUUGUUUUGCCUCCAUUACACAACACUGCCACAUUCAAAACCAAACCAAGAAGAACAAGAAACAAGAAAGAACAAGAAAAAGAAGAAGAGCCCAUCGUGGACCACAGCUUAAGCUCUCCACAAGCUUCUAUUCCCAAGUCUUACCCUAUUAUAGACAUAAAAAAAAAAUGAUGGGUAGCUUAGAAUACGGGGAAUAUUGAUGGAUUUAUGCCAAAUAUACAGGUAAGAUGUCAAACAGAAAGAGAGUAUGCUUUGCUUUCUCUUAGUUUGAAGCUUUCGUCGAAAACUAGCUGAGUAAGGGAGACCCAAAUGGGAAGUCAAGCGGAGGUGACAGGACAAAUUGCAGUUGUCGAGGAAAAUAAAAGAGAAAUAAAUUCUCUGAACCUUGUAAAUAAUAACAGAUACAGG